rnacentral:rRNA from 1 species
UACGUAGGGUGCAAGCGUUGUCCGGAAUUAUUGGGCGUAAAGAGCUCGUAGGCGGUUUGUUGCGUCGGCUGUGAAAUCCCGAGGCUCAACCUCGGGUCUGCAGUCGAUACGAGCAAACUAGAGUGUUGCAGGGGAGACUGGAAUUCCUGGUGUAGCGGUGAAAUGCGCAGAUAUCAGGAGGAACACCGGUGGCGAAGGCGGGUCUCUGGGCAGUAACUGACGCUGAGGAGCGAAAGCGUGGGGGAGCGAACAGG